UCUCUAGGAGUCCUCCUUCUUACUCCUAAGCCCCAGAAAAGCAUCCCCAUGCAGAUAAACCCAUGAGAGGAGCCCUGAGUCCACCACUUCAAACACUUCACCAUAUCUGGAAUUUCGUCAGGCAGCUCCCUGCCCUCACAUGCAUGGAACUCACAACGGCUUCCUAGAGCCUUGAUCUUCAAUCUGACCACCACCUCUGUGCAGGAAAGGUCCAGUCUGAAAGAGGAAGACCCAAAUAUGCGAGAAACAAGGCAAGCACAAGAGAAAUCUGCAGUAUUUCAAUAUGUGGAGCUUUGGAGGUAUUGACCCGUGGAUCUGGGUCGAACAGGACUCUCAGACUUCAGCCUCACGUUCCCUAGGACUUUGCAGGAGGCUUCCUUGUUUCAGCUGGAUUUGAACCUGGAGAAGCUGGGAGCUCCCCUGCAUCCUAAGAAUGAA